UACGGAGGGUGCAAGCGUUAAUCGGAAUUACUGGGCGUAAAGCGCACGCAGGUGGCUGAGUCAGUCGAUUGUGAAAGCCCUGGGCUUAACCUGGGAAUUGCAGUCGAUACUACUCAGCUAGAGUAUGGGAGAGGGUAGUGGAAUUCCCGGUGUAGCGGUGAGAUGCGUAGAUAUCGGGAGGAACAUCAGUGGCGAAGGCGGCUACCUGGCCCAAUACUGACACUCAGGUGCGACAGCGUGGGGAGCAAACAGG
rnacentral:rRNA from 1 species